CCUACGGGAGACAGCAGUGAGGAAUAUUGGUCAAUGGGCGAAAGCCUGACGCAGCGACGCCGCGUGAGGGAUGAAGGUCUUCGGAUCGUAAACCUCUGUCAGCAGGGAAGAACGGUCACUGUGCUAAUCAGCAAUGAAUUGACGGUACCUGCAAAGCAAGCACCGGCUAACUCCGUGCCCGCAGCCGCGGUAAUCCGGAGGGUGCGCACGUUAAUCGGAAUUACUGGGCGUAAGGCGAUCGUAGGCGGUAGGUCAAGUCAAGGGUGAAAUCCCCGGGCUCAACGUGGGAACUGCCUUUGAAACUGGCAAACUGGAGUGUGUGAGAGGAUGGUGGAAUUCUAGGUGUAGGAGUGAAAUCCGUAGAUAUCUGGAGGAACAUCAGUGGCGAAGGCGACUAUCUGGCACAUAACUGACGCUGAGGAGCGAAAGCGUGGGUAGCAAACAGGAUUAGAUACCCGAGUAGUC
rnacentral:rRNA from 1 species